UACGGGAGGCAGCAGUAGGGAAUCUUCGGCAAUGGACGCAAGUCUGACCGAGCAACGCCGCGUGAGUGAAGAAGGUUUUCGGAUCGUAAAACUCUGUUGUUAGAGAAGAACAAGGAUGAGAGUGGAAAGUUCAUCCCUUGACGGUAUCUAACCAGAAAGCCACGGCUAACUACGUGCCAGCAGCCGCGGUAAUACGUAGGUGGCAAGCGUUGUCCGGAUUUAUUGGGCGUAAAGCGAGCGCAGGCGGUCUUUUAAGUCUGAUGUGAAAGCCCCCGGCUUAACCGGGGAGGGUCAUUGGAAACUGGGAGACUUGAGUGCAGAAGAGGAAAGCGGAAUUCCAUGUGUAGCGGUGAAAUGCGUAGAUAUAUGGAGGAACACCAGUGGCGAAGGCGGCUUUCUGGUCUGUAACUGACGCUGAGGCUCGAAAGCGUGGGGAGCAAACAGGAUUAGAUACCCUGGUAGUCCACGCCGUAAACGAU
rnacentral:rRNA from 1 species